CAUACUUCCAAAUAGGAUCUUCAAAAACUAUGUAUGAAGAAUCUUAAACUAUAUAUAUACCGUUCUAAUAAACUUUUCAUCUUCCCCUCCUUCUCCUUCUUCUCCUUCUUCUUCUUCUUCUUCUUCUUCUUCUUUUCUUUUACAUUUUUUUUUCGUUUUACUAACACACCCUUAAUUUUAUCAUUAUUUUGCUUUAAGUUAUUUUUUAAAUUUAUUAAAGUCAAUAACUUUUACAAACUACAAGUCAUUAAGAUAUAA
rnacentral:lncRNA from 1 species